AUGUAGCCAUAAGAUCCAGCGAUUACCGACAUAGAUUCAUCACACUGAAUCAAUUUAGCAACACCAAAAUCAGCAACUCUAGCCUCCAUUUCACCAUCCAAAAGAAUAUUACUAGGCUUAAGAUCGCGAUGAACAAUGACGGGAUCGCAAUCAUGAUGAAGAUAACAAAUUCCCUGAGCCACCCCGAGCGCGAUUUUGUACCUAGUGAGCCAAUCAGACAAUCAUGAUGCAGAUAACAAAUCCCCUGAGCCACCCCGAGCGCGAUUUUGUACCUAGUCAGCCAAUCAGCUACCAAAUUAGCGUCCUUAUUCUUACCAUGCAACAAGUCGUCGAGGCUGCCAUUGGGCAUGUACUCGU
rnacentral:lncRNA from 1 species